rnacentral:rRNA from 1 species
UACGUAGGGGGCUAGCGUUGUCCGGAAUCAUUGGGCGUAAAGCGCGUGUAGGCGGUUCGGUAAGUCCGCUGUGAAAGUCGGGGGCUCAACCCUCGAAAGCCGGUGGAUACUGUCGGACUAGAGUGCGGAAGAGGCGAGUGGAAUUCCUGGUGUAGCGGUGAAAUGCGUAGAUAUUGGGAGGAACACCAGUGGCGAAGGCGGCUCACUGGACCGGAACUGACGCUGAGGCGCGAAAGCGUGGGUAGCAAACAGG